UACGAAGGGGGCGAGCGUUGUUCGGAUUUACUGGGCGUAAAGCGUGCGCAGGCGGUUUUGUAAGCCAGAUGUGAAAUCCCCGGGCUUAACCUGGGAAUGGCAUUUGGGACUGCAAGGCUGGAGUGCGGCAGAGGAGACUGGAAUUCCUGGUGUAGCAGUGAAAUGCGUAGAUAUCAGGAGGAAUACCGAUGGCGAAGGCAGGUCUCUGGGCUGACACUGACGCUCAUGCACGAAAGCGUGGGGAGCAAACAGG
rnacentral:rRNA from 1 species